CUGUAGGCCAGAUGUGGGAAACGCAAAAACAGCAAACAGCCUAAGCCAUGCUCGUUCCUUUCUCUCCUAGAGGCGUGAAAUAAAAUAUUUUGAAAUUGGUCCUUGGAGCACCUCAAAUCGCGUCUCUCCAACUAUUCCAAUUACCGAUCACUUUUCCACAAAACAUUGUGAGGACCAUUUUCAGAAGAUCGAAACUUGCUAGCAUGUUAUCACUGUAAGAAACGACAUCAUUAAUUUUCCUCUGUGGUAAAACUAGACCGAGCCUUGAGUGUACGAAUCCAUAUUUACAGUUGGGAGGCAGCUACUCUCGUCGACACGGGUUGUUUUCCUAGCCUGCUGCCAACAUCGGAGGGACUCUCAUUUUGAACUUGUCUGUGCACAGCAUCAAGUGUGCUCCUGGAAGAGAGGCAACAGCGAGGAAAUCCUAAAAGACCGAGUCCUAGUCUCAGAAGAAAUCGCCUGCAAGGUUGAGAGACAGAAAGAAAAUCCCUGGAGACUCCACGUCUAACCCAGGCUAAAGGCAAAGCUCUACAGCGGUGUGUAGGAUAUCUCUCUCGUUCGCUACAGCCCUUGCCACCGAAGUACCAGACGCUUUUAGUGUGUGAAAGACCAGGCGUUGAUUUAAUGUAUCUGGAAGGGAGAGGGGAUAGAGGAUGCAACUUAAUAAAUAUUCCUCUAGUCUCGCUCAUGAAAACAUCCAAAACAUCUUUCGGCGUUUGCAUUUAAUGACUGCAACGUGAACGAUGGAGGCGAGAAGCAGUCGAGGGAAUGGCUCGUUUCUCUUAGUGUUGGCUCGGAAUUGUCAAACAGUUACUUUCUGUUCAUUGUAGGGAAAUAGGUCACACUUUGAGUGAAAAGGACAGUUGGUUCAAGCCAAUAACCCUUUGUUCAAGUGCUGUUUGACAGUCCCUGAGCAGAACAUCGUUGCGUGAAGUUUCAUCUCCUGUCCAGUACCUUUAGAUACAUUAUUAAAUCCCAAAGUCAUAUUCCACGGAGCGCCUGGAAGGAAUAUUUCGUCGAAACGCGUCUUGCCAACCAACGUGUUAGCACCCGUAAGGAAGCCUGCUGGACUGGCCCGAGAACCCGGCCGCCAGGAUGGACACGAAUCCCUCAUUAGCAGUUCCAACUUGAAAAGUCAACUGGGCUGGUCCAACACCACCAUCCAGGAGAUUCCCAAAGGCUCAAAAGGCAAUCUGUGCACCCACCCCACGGGAACCUUGCCCCUUCCUCUGCGUCUCCCUCCGGUUUUAAAUUGGGAUGAUUGCUAGUUCGCUUUCGGAUUUUUUCUCCCAGACAUUCGGGGGCUGCUUUUGUGGCUCCUUUGUUAACAGGCUGUCGUGCAGCUUUCCCCCCUUUUCUUUCUCCAAUGCCUAUUUGCCUGGUAUCGGCUCGUCUCCGGGGCAACCGCGGGGAAGAUUCGGAGCCCCAGGCGCCGGGAGGGGGAAGGGGCGGAGCCCGGCGGAGUGGGGGCGGGGAGGGGCGCGAGAGGAGGGGCGGAGGGAGUGGGUCAGGAGGAGACCCCAGGACCCACGAGGAGCAGAUGGCCGCUCCGGGGCGGAGCCCGUGAGCGUCAGGGGAGCGGGAGAGCCAAUCCGUCCCUGCAGCAGCGCGGGAGAGAGCCAACGAGAGUAAACACGCGGGCUGUNNNNNNNNNNNNNNNNNNNNNNNCCCUACUUUGCAGCUGAAGACGUGAUUUCCUUUGGAUAAGAAAGCUCAUUGCCAGUGUGGUUGGAAAGCUGGCGGUCCCCGGGAGAAUGGGUUGGGAGGCGGGUUUGGGCGGAGCUCUGAAAUCUCCCUCUCCCUUUCCUCCCCUCCCACCCCGACUCAGGCACCCACUAAGCCUGGCGAGAAUGGAAGAGGCGGGUGGAUGGGAGAGCGGGGCGGGGCUGGGAAAAGGGAAGAGAUUGACUCUUGCUAUGAACCUUAAGGAAUGCCAGCAAGCUAUUGGAGCUGCUGGUCUUUACCUGCUGCAGUUCCCCUACAGUUUGGUGGUCUCCCCGUAGAGUUAAGGGUUUGGGGGGGGGGGGGGGAGGCGGGGAAACACCCGCCAAAUGCAUUUAUAUAAGUGAGAUUAAAGAACCCAUAAGGACAUUAAAAAUUGGAAGCAGGCGCCUAUAGCCAACUC
ensembl:processed_transcript 5930403N24Rik RIKEN cDNA 5930403N24 gene